rnacentral:rRNA from 1 species
AUUGAACGCUGGCGGCAUGGCUUACACAUGCAAGUCGAACGGCAGCACGGGAGCAAUCCUGGUGGCGAGUGGCGAACGGGUGAGUAAAGUAUCGGAACGUGCCCAGUCGUGGGGGAUAACGUAGCGAAAGUUACGCUAAUACCGCAUACGAUCUAUGGAUGAAAGCGGGGGAUCGCAAGACCUCGCGCGAUUGGAGCGGCCGAUAUCAGAUUAGGUAGUUGGUGGGGUAAAGGCUCACCAAGCCGACGAUCUGUAGCUGGUACGAGAGGACGACCAGCCACACUGGGACUGAGACACGGCCCAGACUCCUACGGGAGGCAGAAGUGGGGAAUUUUGGACAAUGGGCGCAAGCCUGAUCCAGCCAUGCCGCGUGCAGGAUGAAGGCCUUCGGGUUGUAAACUGCUUUUGUACGGAACGAAAAGGUUUGACUUAAUACGUUGGACUCAUGACGGUACCGUAAGAAUAAGCACCGGCUAACUACGUGCCAGCCGCCGCCGUAA